GUGGAUUAGAUACCCUAGUAGUCCACGCCGUAAACGAUGGAUACUAGCUGUUGGAGGUAUCGACCCCUCCAGUAGCGAAGCUAACGCGUUAAGUAUCCCGCCUGUGGAGUACGGCCGCAAGGCUAAAACAUAAAGGAAUUGACGGGGACCCGCACAAGCGGUGGAUCGUGUUCUUUAAUUCGAUGCUAAACGAAGAACCUUACCAGGGCUUGACAUCCAGGGAAUUUUUGGGAAACCAAUUAGUGCCUUUUGGAACCCUGUGACAGGUGAUGCACGGCCGUCGCCAACU
rnacentral:rRNA from 1 species